GUAACGCCUGCCCAGUGAGUUUACACUUAAACGGCCGCGACUAAACGUGCAAAGGUAGCGCAAUCACUUGUUCCAUAAAUAGGGACCUGUAUGAACGGCCACAUGAGAAAGAAACUGUCUCUUGAAGAGAGCCAAUGAAACUGAUCUGCUUGUUCAAAAGCAAGCAUAACUAAGCUAGACAAAAAGACCCUGUGAAACUUUAAACUAAGCAUUAAACAAAUAAUGCCUAACUUUUAGUUGGGGCAACUUAAGAAACACUAAACAUCUUAAACAUCCUUAAACCAACGAGUUGAAACUCUCAAAUACAAGAUCCGGCACCGCCGACCAACGAACCAAGCUACUCCAGGGAUAACAGCGCCAAAUUCUUUAAGAGUCCACAUCAACAAGAAUUCUUACGACCUCGAUGUUGGAUCAGGGCAUCCAAACAGCGCAGAAGCUG
rnacentral:rRNA from 1 species